UUUCUUUCCUCGCUACUUAUUUGGAUCAGGACGCCGGGUACCAUCCCACGAGAAAAGGAUUGGAUCUGGCAUACAGAACCAAAACAAGCUCGUCUAUCUCAACUACCAAAUCAAAAAGUGCACCUGCUAGCAGAAAGCUUCCGUGUUGGGAAGACAACUCGGUAGGCUAUUGCCGCCGCCGCCGCCGUCGUGUACCACCUGCUACUGCUGCUACCACCGACAACAUCUGCAAGCUGCAACGUCCUACAUGACCUCAAUUCCCUUCAGUGACCAACCCAGGAGAUUUUUGUACGGUGACGGCGAGGACACACGAGCGCACAUGGCCGAUGGGUGGCUGUUCUAUUGUGGUAGUAGAAACAACCUGCACGGCCUGGCGGCAGCAGUGGCAAACACGGGAGUACGGCCAACAAGCGACUAGCUGACUGCUCUAGCAUGGUGGCGUCGAAGUCGCACCGGCCACGCGGCCGUCUCCGUGAUCCAUUGAAGAUCCUGGAAGAACAUCACGCACUGAAGCCUCUCCAUGCAAAUCCUCCUUUUCAUGUUGAGCCGAUCAAGAUCGUAUAUGACCGAGCAGCGAUAGCAAGACUUGUAUUCGAGUGAGAUGAACAGUGUUUUUUGUAUGAUGAGAUGAGUAGUUUUCGGUGGUCAACGUUGCCCCUUCAUGUGAUGCAUGGCUGACAUCACGUACGCAUGCAUGAUGCACCUACUGGACCGUGAAAUCAAUACCAGAUGCAUUAUUAGCAGUAUAUAAAUAGACAGAUAUUAACAUGUACUCCACUUCAUUCUGGCCGGGCGGAUACAUACUCUUCUGUGCUAUUAUAGAUACACUUCAAAUUUAGUUUUUUAAUACCAUAUACUCCAUACUUUAUACUUGACCUUUUUUUCUGAAUGCAACAUACUCCAUACUUAAUUUUUUGUUUUGAAAUAUACUACAUACUCCAUACUUCCUCAUAUGGAACACAUACAUACUCCUUAGAGUAUAGACA